rnacentral:misc_RNA from 1 species
UUUCCGUAGGUGAACCUGCGGAAGGAUCAUUGUCGAAACCUGCCCAGCAGAACGACCCGCGAACUUGUAUAAACAACCGGGGGCGGGGGGCGUUCUCGCCCCGUGCCCCCGAACGGCGGGGAGACACUCGUGCCUUCUUGCCGAACAACGAACCCCGGUGCGGUCUGCGCCAAGGAACUUCAACUAAAGAGUGCCUCCGGUCGCCUCGGAAACGGCGUGCGUGCCGGGGGCGAAUCUUGUGCAAAACCAUAACGACUCUCGGCAACGGAUAUCUCGGCUCUC